AUGGAGGCAUCUCCACCGCUUAAGUUGUGGAAAUCUAUCCCUAGGCUGGCUGUGAUCAACGAGCGUGAGCUGUUGAUGGCGCAGCGUCCUCAUCGUCUGUUGCAUUGUGACAUUGAUGGUGUGUUUUUAGGAAAUGUCGAAAGCGAAGAGCAUGAGAACCGCUUGACGCUUUCUUGGCAUCGCUUCCAUGAGAGCAUGGUUUCAGUCCCAUUGUUUGAGGUGCAAGAAGAAGUAGAUGCCGUGAGCAACGAGCCUCCUCCAUUCGUCAUGGUGCUACAAGAUGAUGCGAUGCUCCAUCUUAAUGGGUUGGACUAG
rnacentral:rRNA from 1 species